UCGAACGGGAAAUACUUCAUUGAGACUUCGGUGGAUUUGAUCUAUUUCUAGUGGCGGACGGGUGAGUAACGCGUGGGUAACCUGCCUUAUACAGGGGGAUAACAGUCAGAAAUGGCUGCUAAUACCGCAUAAGCGCACAGAGCUGCAUGGCUCAGUGUGAAAAACUCCGGUGGUAUAAGAUGGACCCGCGUUGGAUUAGCUGGUUGGUGGGGUAACGGCCCACCAAGGCGACGAUCCAUAGCCGGCCUGAGAGGGUGAACGGCCACAUUGGGACUGAGACACGGCCCAGACUCCUACGGGAGGCAGCAGUGGGGAAUAUUGCACAAUGGGGGAAACCCUGAUGCAGCGACGCCGCGUGAAGGAAGAAGUAUCUCGGUAUGUAAACUUCUAUCAGCAGGGAAGACAGUGACGGUACCUGACUAAGAAGCCCCGGCUAACUACGUGCCAGCAGCCGCGGUAAUACGUAGGGGGCAAGCGUUAUCCGGAUUUACUGGGUGUAAAGGGAGCGUAGACGGUGUGGCAAGUCUGAUGUGAAAGGCAUGGGCUCAACCUGUGGACUGCAUUGGAAACUGUCAUACUUGAGUGCCGGAGGGGUAAGCGGAAUUCCUAGUGUAGCGGUGAAAUGCGUAGAUAUUAGGAGGAACACCAGUGGCGAAGGCGGCUUACUGG
rnacentral:rRNA from 1 species